UGGCGAACGGGUGCGUAACACGUGGGCAACCUGCCCCAGACUCUGGGAUAACCCCGGGAAACCGGAGCUAAUACCGGAUACUUUCGCGGAACCACAUGGUUCUGCGAAGAAAGAACUUCGGUCUGGGAUGGGCCCGCGGCCUAUCAGCUUGUUGGUGAGGUAACGGCUCACCAAGGCGACGACGGGUAGCUGGUCUGAGAGGACGACCAGCCACACUGGGACUGAGAUACGGCCCAG
rnacentral:rRNA from 1 species